rnacentral:rRNA from 1 species
UACGGGGGGGGCAAGCGUUGUUCGGAAUUACUGGGCGUAAAGGCUCGUAGGCGGCCAACUAAGUCCGACGUGAAAUCCCAAGGCUUAACCUUGGAACUGCGUCGGAUACUGGAUGGCUUGAAUUCGGGAGAGGGAUGCAGAAUUCCAGGUGUAGCGGUGAAAUGCGUAGAUAUCUGGAGGAAUACCGGUGGCGAAGGCGGCAUCCUGGACCGACAUUGACGCUGAGGAGCGAAAGCUAGGGGAGCAAACGGG